UCAUGAACUUGGGUCUCAGUCGUUCAUUUUUCGUGUUCCUUCAGGAUUACUCACGUUUCUUGUUUAUGGUUUGACUACACCUACAUUUGAACUAGCACUUUGAAACCUAUUGGCUUUCAAUUUUGGUAUAUGUAGUUUGUUUUUGUUCAUUAUCUUAUGUUGUUCCCUGAUGGCACACUUUGCAGGUAUUUCAAAGGUUCUGAGCUUCUUGUUGAUUUACAAGAUUAUGACUAUUCUUUGGACUUGUGGAGUCUUGGUUGUAUGUUUCCUGGAAUGAUGGCAAGGAGGUUCAUAAUUUGAUACCAUGUCAAGAAUUGAACUGCUGUCUUGUGAUGCUUAUGCUUGAGCCUUGUUCUAUACAGAUAUUUAGUAAGAAGCCAUUUUUUUAUGGACGUGAUAACUAUGAUCUGCUAGUGAAAAUAGCAAAGGAGGCUUGCAACAACACUAGAGUAAUUGGUUCGUGAAGUGGAUCGAGGAAGAUUCCUGCAAAGUUUAUCUUGAAGUAGAGCAAAAUAACUAACUUGUAAAACUCAAGUAUCU